rnacentral:lncRNA from 1 species
CCACAGGCUUCAAAAUGUUUGCUUAUGAUGGGCUCUUGAUGUUAUUUCUUCCAGGAGGAACUGCCCUUUCAUAAUGCAUCAACAUUAUUGACUGGACUAUGAUUCCUUACUCGGAGUUAAGUUUCCUCACUGAGGAAGUGAGAAUGCCGGGAGCCGAUUUAUGAAGAAUUUAGAGCAAAUGUCUGAAUGUGUUAUGUACUGACACUGAACCAUGGAUGCUCAGCCUCACACUCACAAUAAUAUAACAGUUCUCCUGGUGUGUUUGGGAUGACUUAAUGAAUGGGUAAGUGAGAACUCUGUUCAAGU